AACACAUGCAAGUCGAGCGGAAACAGAGAGUAACUUGUUACUUUGCUGUCGAGCGGCGGACGGGUGAGUAAUGCUUGGGGAACUGGCCAGUCGAGGGGGACAACCAUUGGAAACGAUGGCUAAUACCGCAAUCUCUACGGAGUAAAGGUGGCCUCUCCUUGGAAGCCAUCGCUAUUAGAUAAGCCCGCGUUGGAUUAUCUUGUUGGUGAGGUAAAGGCUCACCAAGGCGACGAUCCAUAGCUGGUCUGAGAGGAUGAUCAGCCACACUGGAACUGAGACACGGUCCAGACUCCUACGGGAGGCAGCAGUGGGGAAUAUUGCACAAUGGGCGCAAGCCUGAUGCAGCCAUGCCGCGUGUAUGAAGAAGGCCCUAGGGUUGUAAAGUACUUUCAGCGAGGAGGAAAGGUGUGUAGUUAAUAACUGCAUACUGUGACGUUACUCGCAGAAGACGCGGUAAUACGGAGGGUCCAAUCGUUAGUCGGAAUUACUGGGCGUAAAGCGCAUGUAAGUGGUUGAUUAAGUCAGAUAUGAAAGCCCGGAGCUUAACUCCGGAAUUGCAUUAGAAACUGGUUAACUAGAGUACUGUAGAGGAAGGUAGAAUUUCAGGUGUAGCGGUGAAAUGCGUAGAGAUCUGAAGGAAUACCAGUGGCGAAGGCGGCCUUCUGGACAGAUACUGACACUCAGAUGCGAAAGCGUGGGUAGCAAACAGGAUGAGAUACCCUGGUAGUCCACGCUGUAAACGAUGUCUACUUGGAGGUUGUGGCCUUGAGCCGUGGCUUUCGGAGCUAACGCGUUAAGUAGACCGCCUGGGGAGUACGGUCGCAAGAUUAAAACUCAAAUGAAUUGACGGGGGCCCGCACAAGCGGUGGAGCAUGUGGUUUAAUUCGAUGCAACGCGAAGAACCUUACCAUCCCUUGACAUCCAGAGAAUUCGCUAGAGAUAGCUUAGUGCCUUCGGGAACUCUGUGACAGGUGCUGCAUGGCUGUCGUCAGCUCGUGUUGUGAAAUGUUGGGUUAAGUCCCGCAACGAGCGCAACCCCUAUCCUUAUUUGCCAGCGAGUUAUGUCGGGAACUUAAGGAGACUGCCGGUGAUAAACCGGAGGAAGGUGGGGACGACGUCAAGUCAUCAUGGCCCUUACGGGAUGGCUACACACGUGCUACAAUGGCAGGUACAGAGGGCAGCAAUACCGCGAGGUGGAGCGAAUCCCACAAAGCUUGUCGUAGUCCGGAUUGGAGUCUGCAACUCGACUCCAUGAAGUCGGAAUCGCUAGUAAUCGUAGAUCAGAAUGCUACGGUGAAUACGUUCCCGGGCCUUGUACACACCGCCCGUCACACCAUGGGAGUGGGAUGC
rnacentral:rRNA from 1 species